UAUGGCCACAUCAUGUUGAAACACCAAUUCCCAUAUGAUCAACAAAGUUAAGGAACAUUGAGCUUGCUCAGUACCUAGAUGGGGGGGGUGGGCACUUGGGAAUACCAGGUGCUGUAAG